rnacentral:lncRNA from 1 species
UGUUUGCUUAUAAGGUUCAUUUAUCCCUAGUGAUAACUUUGAGAUGUAGAUCUAUAAAAUGUUACUUGGCUUUAUCUUAGGUUCAUUUUUCCACAGUGACAUUUACAAUGUCUUUUCAUGGUUUGUCGGCCAUAUUACAGUUAUGGCUGAUUUGUCAGCCAUAUUGCUGGACUGCUGGCAGGUAUGUAAAGAAAUUCGAAGGUAUUGGUUAAAAAAUGAUUGGAAUUGGUUGAAAUCAGUCAACCCAACCUGAUUUAAUGGACUCUGGUCACUGAACAGUGGGUUUGACAGACAAAAAAAGGAACAGAAAGAAGAGGAAAGAGAGUGGAAAAUGAGGAGGAAGUCUUGCACCACAGGCAAUCCAACCAGAUCAGGCUUGAUCCUCUUGGCAACAUUGAGGAAGAGGAGGAAGGAAAAAAAGAGAUGGAUGAGGAAAGGAACUCACCAGAUGCUGUGAAAUGAAAGGAAGAUGAGGAUUAAGGAAAGAAGGUUAACAAAUUGGACAAAAACCUAUUCAACUUCUCAAGGAAAGUGUUUUACAUGAAUUGUUUCUGUUAAACCUGCAUAAAAAAUUCCAGUAAUAAAUAUUUUUUUAAGAAUCACCAACUGAUGAAAUGGUUGAAUCCAUGGCCCUUUUUUGGGCCAAUAGACUAAAAUGCCACCAAUUUAGCUGUUGGGGAAUUGAUAUCAUGCUACUUAAUUACAGCUUGCAAGGGCAAUAUCCAAUGGAAACCAGCAUCCUCUCCUGUUCAUGCUUUUAGGGUCAGCCUUCUCACUUGAGAAUUCCCGAAUGCUGGCAUUCCACUUUUGCUUAUUAAUUGGCAACCAAGAAAAUUCCACUGUUCCCAUGGGAAGUGCAUGGCACCAAAGAGCCUUAGCCCAACAUACCUUAGGUUCAUUCAUCCCUGGUUAUAGCUUCGAGAUGCAUACUAUGGAAUUUUAUUUUGCUUUAUCUUAGGUCCAUUUUUCGGCAAUGGCAUUUACAAUAUCCUUCAUGAUCGUCUUCUUGUAAGCAGUUUUUGCAUGACAAUAAUGAAAUCCUUGUACAUCUGUUGGUUCUUGGACAUCCAAUUCAAUGAGAUAA